rnacentral:rRNA from 1 species
UACGGAGGAUGCGAGCGUUAUCCGGAUUUAUUGGGUUUAAAGGGUGCGUAGGCGGCUUUUUAAGUCAGCGGUGAAAUUUUGCAGCUUAACUGUAACAGUGCCGUUGAUACUGCAUGGCUAGGAUUUGGUUGCUGUGGGUGGAAUGUGUGGUGUAGCGGUGAAAUGCUUAGAUAUCACACAGAAUAUCGAUUGCGAAGGCAGCUCACAAAGCCAAGAUUGACGCUGAGGCACGAAAGUGUGGGGAUCAAACAGGA